rnacentral:rRNA from 1 species
AUUGAACGCUGGCGGCAGGCCUAACACAUGCAAGUCGAGCGGAUGAAGGGAGCUUGCUCCUGGAUUCAGCGGCGGACGGGUGAGUAAUGCCUAGGAAUCUGCCUUGUAGUGGGGGAUAACGUCCGGAAACGGGCGCUAAUACCGCAUACGUCCUGAGGGAGAAAGUGGGGGAUCUUCGGACCUCACGCUAUCAGAUGAGCCUAGGGCGGAUUAGCUAGUUGGUGGGGUAAAGGCCUACCAAGGCGACGAUCCGUAACUGGUCUGAGAGGAUGACCAGUCACACUGGAACUGAGACACGGUCCAGACUCCUACGGGAGGCAGCAGUGGGGAAUAUUGGACAAUGGGCGAAAGACUGAUCCAGCCAUGCCGCGUGUGUGAAGAAGGUCUUCGGAUUGUAAAGCACUUUAAGUUGGGAGGAAGGGCAGUAAGUUAAUACCUUGCUGUUUUGACGUUACCAACAGAAUAAGCACCGGCUAACUUCGUG